rnacentral:lncRNA from 1 species
AAUUUACUAUUUAUAGCAUACAGAGUGUAUAUAUAUAUAUAUAUAGAGAGAGAGAGAGAGAGAGUUCGGCUACUAUACUUUUAUGAGUAUUGGCUCACUUAUACUCAUAAGUUUUCGGCUCUUAGAUUUAUUUCAUGAUCAUUUCCACCUAUUAGAUCAUACUAUGCAACCAACUACCCACUCAACUCUAGAGGACCACUAUCAUUUUAAGUGGGGACCGCCAUCAUCCUAACCACACAUCCCAUCAAUCAACGGUUAAAAAUUUAUGAGUGCAAAGGGUUCUAUACUCAUAAGAGUAUAGUAGCCCCAGCCUAUAUAUAUAUUGUGCUCCUAAGUUCUUAACCGCCUAUCAAAUUUGAUGGGUGAUUAGGGUGAAAGAAAGAAAAGAAAUUAAAAAGAAAUUCAAAGAGGGGAGAAAUUGAGAAACCCAAUUUCUCUCUAAUUGCUCUUCUCCAUUUCACCCUAACCACCCAUCAAAUUUGAUGGACGGUUAAGAACUUAGAAGCACAAGAGCUGUUGUGCUCCUAAUAGCACAGUAGCCCUACUAUAUAUAUAUAUAU